GACGAACGCUGGCGGCGUGCUUAACACAUGCAAGUCGAACGAUGAAGCUAGAGCUUGCUCUGGUGAAUUAGUGGCGAACGGGUGAGUAACACGUGAGUAACCUGCCCUUGACUCUGGGAUAACUGCGGGAAACUGUAGCUAAUACCGGAUACGACCCUCGGAGGCAUCUCCUGGGGGUGGAAAGAAUUUCGGUCAAGGAUGGACUCGCGGCCUAUCAGCUAGUUGGUGAGGUAAAGGCUCACCAAGGCGACGACGGGUAGCCGGCCUGAGAGGGUGACCGGCCACACUGGGACUGGGACACGGCCCAGACUCCUACGGGAGGCAGCAGUGGGGAAUAUUGCACAAUGGGCGCAAGCCUGAUGCAGCAACGCCGCGUGAGGGAUGACGGCCUUCGGGUUGUAAACCUCUUUUAGCAGGGAAGAAGCGAAAGUGACGGUACCUGCAGAAAAAGCACCGGCUAACUACGUGCCAGCAGCCGCCGUAA
rnacentral:rRNA from 1 species